ACACGGGAAAGGAGGUGGUCCAGACUUGUAUAGCAAUCGGACUCGUGAGGUGGCUGUCCGCUAGCCGCUGUCCUCGACAGUGAGAAACCUGCCCGCCGCGAGGCGGGUGCACGAUCGUCGAGACCGUGUGGCAGCGGUGCGGCGAAACCACGACAGCCACCCGACCCCCGGGGUGCCGGCCAAGUCCAGCCGGCCCGUGCGCGAGCACGGAAGCCCCGGGGGUCGCUUCAU
rnacentral:sRNA from 1 species